CCAUUGAAGCCAUCCAAACCCGUGCAUGAGAAUGCCUGGUAACAACCAACCUGGUUCCAUCUCUUGCACGAUAGAUCCAACGCGAAAAAGGACCUUAAGUAAGAUGCAUUUUUCGAGCUUAGAGUUUUAUUUCUUUUUUGUACAACCAUGUCACCAUCGUUUGCCAGAUUGUUCCGAAAACAACCGGAUGCAUUUUCUGUUUCUUCCAACCCUCAGCCUCCUGGUUAAACUGCAGCAGCGAAGUCUCACUGAGGGUAACGGCCCUUAACAUACCACAUUUGGUUGGUACACCACCCGUACCAUAUGUGAAGUUUGUUGGUUUUGUACAUUUUUGGUUCAUUUUAUGAUCCUCUCAAAACACAAUAAGAAUAUGUGCGUAAAGCGUACCAGAAGAAAGCGGUUCAGAGUUUGUGCAGCAGCAGCAGCAGCUCUCCCUUUGCGCAGAAUGAUAAACACGUGAUCGCCAUACGGAGUGCAUGCGGCACAAUAUUCCAAAGAUCGUUGGCAAACCAGAACUCGGCAUCUUUUUGCGUGUUUGAACAUUGCUCGCGAGCAGAGACCAAGUAAAGGAAUGGUCGGGUUUUUCGCAGGAGCUCGCGCGUGUGUCGUCUAAAAUGUGUGUGGUUAAUGUGAUUCUUCUUCUAACUCCUUUCCCUUGAAUGUGUCCCCUGAUCCCCCCCUCCAAAAAAACGGAUCCUUUAGUGUCAGACCUGACUCAGUGACGUAACGCGUGUGCGCGAUCACCAACGCCGCAUGAUGAGCAUUUGGUACAAGAAGCAAAGCUGCGAAAGUUCCAUGCUUCCUUGCAUUCAAUAGUAUGUUUGUAAAACCCUAUGGAAUGUAAAGAAGUAUGGAGCGAUUGGGCUAGUUCAGCAGGAGAGCAGGCGUUACAAAAAUAUAAAACCGAUUAUUUGCAGCCAAUAUUCAACCUCUAUUUAAUCCUAACCCGCAACCCAAUUGGUUGCCAAUCGUGAAAUAAAAAACAAACUAUUCUUUCAGCGUAAAAAGCAGCCGCAGCACGUACACAGCUUCAUUCUAGCGAAGAUCCUGCUAUUUAUAGCAUAUAAUGCCGCCUGCGGGACAGCCCUUCACUACACCGCUGCUGUGGCUUCGUGAUUUCAGCCGUCGUUAAGGCGGUACGCAUCAUCUCGCUUUUCUGACCGGCCGCGCAAAACGUUGCAGCAGCAGCAGCAGCAAGCAAGAUUGCGUUGGACGAGAAGGACGAGUAGUUAGGCCGCCACUGAGCCGUAUCGAGGAGGAUGUAAAAAUAUCUUCAGCUCCCGAGCGCGCACACUGCGAGCAAUGGACUCUGAUCGAGCGCCUCUCAACGCAUGCGCCUGCGUGACACGAGAUCGGUGCGCUGCCUGUGCCCAGAGGGCAACGGCAGAGGGAGAGAGCAUUUCUAUUAUUUUUAGAAUCCUAGGACACAAGAUCGUCACUCGUCACACUCGUGCACAGAUUUUGUUCUAAAAGAUGUCAUUUCUAGGAGCCGUUUGGGAUUGCGCAGGUUUUGGGACUCAUUUUACGUGGUGGGCCGGUGUAGAGCUUGGAAGAUGGUCGGGACCCUCGUUUGAGAUACAAUUAGAGGAAUUUAACGUUUGAGAUACAAAAAAGGAAUGUAGAAAAAUAGAAUUUAAAAAAAAUACAAAAAUGGAUGUGACAAUGAUUUCAAUGAUGAUGAUAUGAUCGCAAAUAGCUGUAAUGUGAUUUUAAGCAAGAAAAGUAAUAAAGACAUACUAUUCAACUAUAAUAUAUGCUGAAAUCUAUGCAA